rnacentral:rRNA from 1 species
UACGAAGGGUGCAAACGUUGCUCGGAAUUAUUGGGCGUAAAGCGCACGUAGGCGGCAUUGCAAGUCGGAUGUGAAAUCCCUCGGCUUAACCAAGGAAGUGCAUCCGAACUGCAGUGCUUGAGUACUUAAGAGGAUCGCGGAAUUCCCGGUGUAGAGGUGAAAUUCGUAGAUAUUGGGAAGAACACCAGUGGCGAAGGCGACUUGCUGGAUCUUUGCUGACGCUGAGACGCGAAAGCGUGGGGAGCAACAGG